ensembl:misc_RNA Metazoa_SRP Metazoan signal recognition particle RNA
GCCGCGCACGGUGGCCCAUGCCUGUAGUCCCAGCUACUCAGGAGGCUAAGGUGGGAGAAUCGCUCGAGCCCAGGAGUUCUGGGCUGUAGUGCGCUAUGCCAAUGAAGUGUCUGCACUAAGUUCAGCAUCAAUAUGGUGGCCUCCCAGGAGCAGGGGACCACCAGGUUGCCUAAGGAGGGAUGAACCAGCCCAGGUUGGAAACGGAGUAGGUCAAAACUCCCAUGCUCAUCAGUAGUGGGAUCAUGCCUGUGAAUAGCCACUGCACUUCAGCCUGGGCAACAUAGCAAGAUCCUGUCUCU